rnacentral:rRNA from 1 species
AUUAGAUACCCUGGUAGUCCACGCAGUAAACGAUGAAUACUAGCUGUCCGUUGCGAGUGAGCCCUGGGUGGCACAGCGAAAGCGUUAAGUAUUCCACCUGGGGAGUACGCCGGCAACGGUGAAACUCAAAGGAAUUGACGGGGGCCCGCACAAGCGGAGGAACAUGUGGUUUAAUUCGAUGAUACGCGAGGAACCUUACCCGGGCUCAAACGACACAGGAACGGUCCUGAAAGGGGUCGGCUCUACGGAGCCUGUGUCGAGGUGCUGCAUGGUUGUCGUCAGCUCGUGCCGUGAGGUGUCGGCUUAAGUGCCAUAACGAGCGCAACCCCCAUCGACAGUUGCUAACAGGUCAAGCUGAGGACUCUGUCGAGACUGCCGGCGCAAGCUGCGAGGAAGGCGGGGAUGACGUCAAAUCAGCACGGCCCUUACGUCCGGGGCGACACACGUGUUACAAUGGCAGGUACAGCGGGAAGCCACCUGGCGACAGGGAGCGGAACCCGAAAGCCUGUCUCAGUUCGGAUUGGAGUCUGCAACCCGACUCCAUGAAGCUGGAUUCGCUAGUAAUCGCGCAUCAGCCACGGCGCGGUGAAUACGUUCCCGGGCCUUGUACACACCGCCCGUCAAGCCAUGGAAGCCGGGGGUGCCUGAAGUGCGCUGCCGCAAGGAGCGCCCUAGGGUAAAACCGGUGACUGGGGCUAAGUCGUAACAAGGUACC